rnacentral:rRNA from 1 species
AACGGCCAUACCAUGCUGAAUAUACCGGUUCUCGUUCGAUCACCGAAGUUAAGCAUCAUCGGGCGUGGUCAGUACUUGGGUGGGUGACCACCUGGAAACACUGAGUGCCGUU